UUCUAAUUGCGUAAUAAUGGUUUUGGUAUAUUUUAUUUUCCUAUAACUCCCUCAUGAGAUGUGUUGUAUUGCAUUACUCUACCACCAUUUUUUUGUAUCAAAUGGAUUUAGUACUUCCAAGAAGCUUCUUUCUUUUUUAAUGAUUGAUCAUCCAGGUCCAACGAAACUCACUGGGAGAGCAGUAUAUGCUUUCUGAUAAGUUGGAAUUCAUGCAGACAGAAAUAAUGAAUGUGAAAAAUAAACUGCGGUCUAUACGGGCUAAAUUGGCUAUACAACGAGGCAAGAAGACACAUGCAAUAAUUAAAGCGGAGAACACGGACAUGGCAAAGAAGAAGCUUGAUGCUUCUGUAAAAGCUUUGCAUAUUCUUCGAUCUACGUGCAUAGUCUGGUCUACAUCUGCUUCAGAAGUUCUUUUGGCUGGGUCUUUCGAUGGUUGGACUAAUCAG